rnacentral:misc_RNA from 1 species
UUUCCGUAGGUGAACCUGCGGAAGGAUCAUUACAGAGUUCAUGCCCUCACGGGUAGAUCUCCCACCCUUGAAUAUUUAUACCUUAGUUGCUUUGGCAGGCCGUGGAAACACCAUGGGCUCGGGCUUAUGCGUGCCUGCCAGAGGAAACAAACUCUGUUUUUAGUGAUGUCUGAGUACUAUAUAAUAGUUAAAACUUUCAACAACGGAUCUCUUGGUUCUG